rnacentral:rRNA from 1 species
AUUGAGCGCUGGCGGAAUGCUUUACACAUGCAAGUCGAGCGGCAGCGCGGGGCAACCUGGCGGCGAGCGGCGAACGGGUGAGUAAUGCAUCGGAAUGUACCCAGUCGUGGGGGAUAACACAGCGAAAGUUGUGCUAAUACCGCAUACGUCCUGAGGGAGAAAGCGGGGGAUCGCAAGACCUCGCGCGAUUGGAGCAGCCGAUGUCAGAUUAGCUAGUUGGUGAGGUAAAGGCUCACCAAGGCGACGAUCUGUAGCGGGUCUGAGAGGACGACCCGCCACACUGGAACUGAGACACGGUCCAGACUCCUACGGGAGUCAGCAGUGGGGAAUUUUGGACAAUGGGCGAAAGCCUGAUCCAGCCAUUCCGCGUGAGUGAAGAAGGCCUUCGGGUUGUAAAGCUCUUUCGGCAGGAACGAAACGGUCGUCUCUAACAUAGAUGGCUAAUGACGGUACCUGAAGAAGAAGCACCGGCUAACUACGUGCCAGCCGCCGCCGUAA